rnacentral:rRNA from 1 species
AAUAGAUACCCGGGUAGUCCACGCCGUAAACGAUGAGUGCUAGGUGUCGGAGGGGUCCACCCUGCGGUGCCGAAGUUAACACAUUAAGCACUCCGCCUGGGGAGUACGGUCGCAAGACUGAAACUCAAAGGAAUUGACGGGGACCCGCACAAGCAGUGGAGUAUGUGGUUUAAUUCGAAGCAACGCGAAGAACCUUACCAGGUCUUGACAUCCCUUUGAAUACGUUAGAGAUAGCGUAGGCCUUCGGGACAGAGGAGACAGGUGGUGCAUGGUUGUCGUCAGCUCGUGUCGUGAGAUGUUGGGUUAAGUCCCGCAACGAGCGCAACCCUUGAGCUUAGUUGCCAGCGCGUAAUGGCGGGCACUCUAGGCUGACUGCCGGUGACAAACCGGAGGAAGGCGGGGAUGACGUCAAAUCAUCAUGCCCCUUAUGACCUGGGCUACACACGUACUACAAUGGCCGGUACAACGGGCAGCGAAGGAGCGAUCCGGAGCCAAUCCUAUCAAAGCCGGUCUCAGUUCGGAUUGCAGGCUG